rnacentral:rRNA from 1 species
AGAAGAAGCACCGGCUAACUACGUGUCAGCAGCCGCGGUAAUACGUAGGGUGCGAGCGUUGUCCGGAUUUAUUGGGCGUAAAGAGCUCGUAGGCGGUUUGUCGCGUCGUUCGUGAAAACCUAUGGCUUAACUGUGGGCUUGCGGUCGAUACGGGCAGACUUGAGUUCGGCAGGGGAGACUGGAAUUCCUGGUGUAGCGGUGAAAUGCGCAGAUAUCAGGAGGAACACCGGUGGCGAAGGCGGGUCUCUGGGCCGAUACUGACGCUGAGGAGCGAAAGCGUGGGGAGCGAACAGGAUUAGAUACCCUGGUAGUCCACGCCGUAAACGUUGGGCGCUAGGUGUGGGUGCUGUUUCCACGGUGCCUGUGCCGUAGCUAACGCAUUAAGCGCCCCGCCUGGGGAGUACGGCCGCAAGGCUAAAACUCAAAGGAAUUGACGGGGGCCCGCACAAGCGGCGGAGCAUGUCGAUUAAUUCGAUGCAACGC